UGGGGAAUAUUGCACAAUGGGCGCAAGCCUGAUGCAGCCAUGCCGCGUGUAUGAAGAAGGCCUUCGGGUUGUAAAGUACUUUCAGCGGGGAGGAAGGGAGUAAAGUUAAUACCUUUGCUCAUUGACGUUACCCGCAGAAGAAGCACCGGCUAACUCCGUGCCAGCAGCCGCGGUAAUACGGAGGGUGCAAGCGUUAAUCGGAAUUACUGGGCGUAAAGCGCACGCAGGCGGUUUGUUAAGUCAGAUGUGAAAUCCCCGGGCUCAACCUGGGAACUGCAUCUGAUACUGGCAAGCUUGAGUCUCGUAGAGGGGGGUAGAAUUCCAGGUGUAGCGGUGAAAUGCGUAGAGAUCUGGAGGAAUACCGGUGGCGAAGGCGGCCCCUGGACGAAGACUGACGCUCAGGUGCAAAAGCGUGGGGAGCAAACAGG
rnacentral:rRNA from 1 species